UGGGGAAUAUUGCACAAUGGGCGCAAGCCUGAUGCAGCCAUGCCGCGUGUGUGAAGAAGGCCUUCGGGUUGUAAAGUACUUUCAGCGGGGAGGAAGGGAGUAAAGUUAAUACCUUUGCUCAUUGACGUCACCCGCAGAAGAAGCACCGGCUAACUCCGUGCCAGCAGCCGCGGUAAUACGGAGGGUGCAAGCGUUAAUCGGAAUUACUGGGCGUAAAGCGCACGCAGGCGGUUUGUUAAGUCAGAUGUGAAAUCCCCGGGCUCAACCUGGGAACUGCAUCUGAUACUGGCAAGCUUGAGUCUCGUAGAGGGGGGUAGAAUUCCAGGUGUAGCGGUGAAAUGCGUAGAGAUCUGGAGGAAUACCGGUGGCGAAGGCGGCCCCCUGGACAAAGACUGACGCUCAGGUGCGAAAGCGUGGGGAGCAAACAGG
rnacentral:rRNA from 1 species